UUCGUAGGUGAACCUGCGGAGGGAUCAUUACCGAGUUUACAACUCCCAAACCCCUGUGAACAUACCACUUGUUGCCUCGGCGGAUCAGCCCGCUCCCGGUAAAACGGGACGGCCCGCCAGAGGACCCCUAAACUCUGUUUCUAUAUGUAACUUCUGAGUAAAACCAUAAAUAAAUCAAAACUUUCAACAACGGAUCUCUUGGUUCUGGCAUCGAUGAAGAACGCAGCAAAAUGCGAUAAGUAAUGUGAAUUGCAGAAUUCAGUGAAUCAUCGAAUCUUUGAACGCACAUUGCGCCCGCCAGUAUUCUGGCGGGCAUGCCUGUUCGAGCGUCAUUUCAACCCUCAAGCACAGCUUGGUGUUGGGACUCGCGUUAAUUCGCGUUCCUCAAAUUGAUUGGCGGUCACGUCGAGCUUCCAUAGCGUAGUAGUAAAACCCUCGUUACUGGUAAUCGUCGCGGCCACGCCGUUAAACCCCAACUUCUGAAUGUUGACCUCGGAUCAGGUAGGAAUACCCGCUGAACUUAAGCAUAUCAAUAAGCGGAGGA
rnacentral:rRNA from 1 species